UCCAGACUCCUACGGGAGGCAGCAGUCGGGAAUAUUGCGCAAUGGAGGAAACUCUGACGCAGUGACGCCGCGUAUAGGAAGAAGGUUUUCGGAUUGUAAACUAUUGUCGUUAGGGAAGAUAAAAGACAGUACCUAAGGAGGAAGCUCCGGCUAACUACGUGCCAGCAGCCGCGGUAAUACGUAGGGAGCAAGCGUUAUCCGGAUUUAUUGGGUGUAAAGGGUGCGUAGACGGGAAAUUAAGUUAGUUGUGAAAUCCCUCGGCUCAACUGAGGAACUGCAACUAAAACUGAUUUUCUUGAGUGCAGGAGAGGUAAGUGGAAUUCCUGGUGUAGCGGUGAAAUGCGUAGAUAUCAGGAGGAACACCGGCGGCGAAGGCGGCCUGCUGGACUGAAACUGACGUUGAGGCUCGAAAGCGUGGGGAGCAAACAGGAUUAGAUACCCCCGUAC
rnacentral:rRNA from 1 species